UACGUAGGGGGCGAGCGUUGUCCGGAAUCAUUGGGCGUAAAGCGCGUGUAGGCGGCCCGGUAAGUCCGCUGUGAAAGUCCAGGGCUCAACCCUGGGAUGCCGGUGGAUACUGUCGGGCUCGAGUCCGGAAGAGGCGAGUGGAAUUCCUGGUGUAGCGGUGAAAUGCGCAGAUAUCAGGAGGAACACCAAUGGCGAAGGCAGCUCGCUGGGACGUGACUAACGCUGAGACGCGAAAGCGUGGGGAGCAAACAGG
rnacentral:rRNA from 1 species